rnacentral:rRNA from 1 species
GAUCAAGCUACAAAGGGCGCACGGUGAAUGCCCUGGCACUAGGAGCCGAUGAAGGACGUGAUAAGCUGCGAUAAGCUACAUGUAGGCGCACACAGCCUGUGAUAUGUAGAUUUCCGAAUGGGGAAACCCAUCUAGUUAUGCUAGAUACUGUAUACCGAAUACAUAGGUAUAUGGAGGUACACCUGGGGAACUGAAACAUCUAAGUACCCAGAGGAAGAGAAAGAAAAUUCGAUUCCCUAAGUAGCGGCGAGCGAAAGGGGAAGAGCCCAAACCAGGAACUUGUUCCUGGGGUUGCGGAUAGAUCAUAACGCUUUGAUUUCUUUAGUUGAAGAGAACUGGAAAGUUCCGUCGUAGAAGGUAAUAACCCUGUAGGCGAAAAGGAAAGAAAAGUAGAUCUACUCCAGAGUACCACGAGACACGUGAAACCUUGUGGGAAGCUGGGAGGACCAUCUCCCAAGGCUAAAUACUACCUAGUGACCGAUAGUGAAGCAGUACCGUGAGGGAAAGGUGAAAAGAACCCCGGAAGGGGAGUGAAAUAGAAUCUGAAACCGUGUGCCUACAAUCGGUCGGAGCACAUUAAAGUGUGACGGCGUACUUUUUGUAGAACGGGCCAGCGAGUUACGAUAUAUAGCAAGGUUAAGCACUUAUGGUGUGGAGCCGAAGGGAAACCGAGUCUGAAUAGGGCAACUAGUUGUAUAUUGUAGACCCGAAACCGAGUGACCUAUCCAUGGCCAGGAUGAAGCGGAAGUAAAAUUCCGUGGAGGUCCGAACCACGUUGGUGUUGAAAAACCAUGGGAUGAGCUGUGGAUAGCGGAGAAAUUCCAAUCGAACUCGGAGAUAGCUGGUUCUCCUCGAAAUAGCUUUAGGGCUAGCGUCGGGUAAUUGAGUAGUGGAGGUAGAGCACUGAAUGGGCUAGGGGCUGACAACAGUUACUGAACCCUAUCAAACUCCGAAUGCCAUAUACUUGUACCCCGGCAGUCAGACUACGAAUGAUAAGAUCCGUGGUCAAAAGGGAAACAGCCCAGACCAUCAGCUAAGGUCCCAAAGUGUAAGUUAAGUGGGAAAGGAUGUGGGAUUUCUAAGACAACUAGGAUGUUGGCUUAGAAGCAGCCACUCAUUUAAAGAGUGCGUAAUAGCUCACUAGUCGAGAGAUCCUGCGCCGAAGAUGUAACGGGGCUCAAACUUACCACCGAAGCUAUGGAUGUGUACUUUGUACACGUGGUAGAGGAGCUUUCUGUACAGGUUGAAGUCAUACCGUAAGGAGUGGUGGACAGUACAGAAGUGAGAAUGCUGGCAUAAGUAGCGAAAAACAAGUGAGAAUCUUGUUGACCGAAUAUCUAAGGUUUCCUGGGGAAGGCUCGUCCUCCCAGGGUUAGUCGGGACCUAAGCCGAGGCCGAAAGGCGUAGGUGAUGGACAACUGGUUGAUAUUCCAGUACCACCAUAAUGCGUUUGACAAAUGGGAUGACGCAGGAGGAUAGGA